AUGUAUGAACCAAGGUGUAUAAAAUGUGAAAAGAACUAACGUUCAGGGCUGCUCCCCUGGUUUCAUGGGCUGUGUGUCUGUGAGGGAGCUCGCCUGAAGCUGUCUCCAUCCUGAGUAAAGCUGUUGCGAGCAAUGUGUGCUGGUGUUUGCUCCAUGCUUGCUCUGGCUAAUGAGUACCAGGAUCCAUGAGCAAUUGGACCGUCGUCUCCCUAGUCAUUUGGCGUCUCAUGGAAUUGGGGUCUAACAAAGACAAUUAAAGGUUUUUCUAUAUGAAGGAAAGUGCUCAGUGACCGGACGAGGAAGAUGGCAGGAGAACUGCAUCAGAGAGACCAACUGGCGGCUUCGGCAGUGGUGUCUCGAGGCAGGCUUCGGCUUCCUGGACCAUGACCCGCACAUCACGACGAGGGACAUGCUCAGCUGGGAUGGGCUUCACCUGUCCCCCAAAGGAGUGACCUCAAGCUGAGAUAAUGAAAAGAAUGAUGAGAAACAACAUCUGUAUGGAGAAGUGCGGAUGGAAAAAUACCUUGACUUCGAACAAAGACUUGAAUAAAAGUGGGAUGCAGCAAUGUCAGAGUGGAGGAAUCUACACUCUGCAACCUUCUGGAGCACAGGCAUCCCUGCUACCGCCACCAUCACCCUCAAUGAGCCUGGGCUGGCCACCCAGCGCUAACUUUGAGCAAGCAAGCUGGUAACUAUAACAUCUCCGUACAGUGUGUUUGUCUGUGUGAAUGAUGAGUGUGUUUAUCUUUGUGUUUGUCUCUGUGAAGUCUUUGUAUGUUUUUGUUCUAUGUAAUCAAUAAACGCAGGACUUUGCCUUAUCCCCCCGCUUCAUAAGGUCUUGCUUGUGAUUUGAGAUAUUGGCAAUUUGUGUAACAAAUCUACUUCUUCUCCCUGCAGCCUUCCUCCCCCCUCUGCCAUCUGCACCCCCACCCACAGCUCUCCACAGCCUGUGUCCCACUGCAGUUUUUGCCUCUUCCGCUCCCCCCCUCAGCCCUUAUACUGUCAGAUGCUGCUUAGGCUGCUCCAUCCCAGAGCACAGCACUUGGAAGUUUAGCCUUUGCCUGGCCAUGCAGCAGUGUCUGUGCUGCUGACUGGCCAGGCAAACAAUUUAGAUGUGUCGGUGCUGUAGAUUGGCUGGGAGUGGGAAAGAAUUUCCAUGUUCUCCAAACCCAAAAGAGACACCAGCCAAAGCGGAGCUGUGCCUGGCAGGGGAGGGAAGUGGGGGGGAGUAGCUGCAGAGGGGAAGUAGAGCAGGGGCAGGAGGCUGCUGUGAGUUUGACUCUGGAGCUCACCCAUGCUGAGGGACAGCGUUAGAGCUGCAGCAGCAGCCUGCUCCCCUCUCCACUUCAUAUAUGAAUGUAAGAUGAAGGGUUUUUUUUCCCCAUGCUAAUUGGGAAAGGGUGAGGGGACAUCAUCUUAUAUUUAAUUAAAUAUGGUAAUUCUAACCUAGUAUUUUUUCCCAGAAACUUUGAAUUCAAUGUACACAAUUAUCUUUGCUCAGACAUUAGGUAGUAAGCGAGCACGCACACUUAAUUUCACUUUUCUUUAUAAAAUUGUGGUUAUUUAUGUGUAUAUGAGGAGACUUAAAAAUCUCUGGGCAUGCACAAUUUUAAUAGAAUAAUAUAUUUGGAAGAUAUCUUUAUUGCAGCGGACACUUUUAAUACUUAAGAUAUUACGAUAUUCCUGUUUCUGUUUUA